ACCACUUAAAAACAACAAGUGUUGUAACCAAAGUGCAAGUUCAGAGGACAAAAUGUAAUCAUGCUAUAAACAGAUGAUGACUUCUGCUGCUGUUUACACUGGCGGACAAAAGUUUGAAAUAAUGUACAGAGUUUGCUGUUUCGGAAGGAAAUUGGUAUUUUAAUUCCCCAAAGUGACUUUCAGGACAUCACUAUUUGAAAAAAGUCAUUUUUGAUCAAAUCUAGACAGCAGCAUCACUCCAACAUCUUAUCCUUGUGUUUUCAUGCUAAAUUGAUAAUUUGGUACAUUUAAAAUCACUUGCUAUUAUAUCAAACACAGUUGAAAGAUAUUUUUUUUGAGUUGCCACAGUGUGCAAUAGACCGGCAUGUCUUAAGGUCAAUAUUAGAUCAAAAAUGGCCAAAAAAAACAGAGGAUAAGUACAUCAGAGUCUCUAUUUUGAGAAAUAGACACCUCACAUGUCCUCCGCUGACAGCUUCAUUGAAUUCUACCCGCUCAACACCAGUUUCAUGUACAACAGUAAAGAGAGACUCAGGAGGACUUAUGGGAAGAAUUGCAAAGAAAAAGCCACUUUUGAAACAGAAACACAGAAAGAAAAGGUUCGAGUGGACAAAGAAACACAGACAUUGGACAACAGAUCAUUGGAAAAGAGUGUUACGGAUCUUAACCCCAUUGAGCUUUUGUGGGAUCAGCUAGACUGUAAGGUGUGUGAGAAGUGCCCGACAAGACAGUCACAUCUAUGGCAAGUGCUACAGGAAGUGUGGGGUGAAAGGUCAAGUGCUACAGGAAGUGUGGGGUGAAAGGUCAAGUGCUACAGGAAGUGUGAGGUGAAGGGUCAAGUGCUACAGGAAGUGUGAGGUGAAGGGUCAUGUGCUACAGGAAGUGUGAGGUGAAGGGUCAAGUGCUACAGGAAGUGUGGGGUGAAGGGUCAAGUGCUACAGGAAGUGUGGGGUGAAGGGUCAAGUGCUACAGGAAGUGUGGGGUGAAGGGUCAAGUGCUACAGGAAGUGUGAGGUGAAGGGUCAAGUGCUACAGGAAGUGUGAGGUGAAGGGUCAUGUGCUACAGGAAGUGUGGGG